rnacentral:rRNA from 1 species
GAUGAACGCUGGCGGCGUGCCUAAUACAUGCAAGUCGAGCGAACGGACGAGAAGCUUGCUUUUCUGAUGUUAGCGGCGGACGGGUGAGUAACACGUGUAUAACCUACCUAUAAGACUGGGAUAACUUCGGGAAACCGGAGCUAAUACCGGAUAAUAUUUUGAACCGCAUGGUUCAAAAGUGAAAGACGGUCUUGCUGUCACUUAUAGAUGGAUCCGCGCUGCAUUAGCUAGUUGGUAAGGUAACGGCUUACCAAGGCAACGAUGCAUAGCCGACCUGAGAGGGUGAUCGGCAACACUGGAACUGAGACACGGACCAGACUCCUACGGGAGGCAGCAGUAGGGAAUCUUCCGCAAUGGGCGAAAGCCUGACGGAGCAACGCCGCGUGAGUGAUGAAGGUCUUCGGAUCGUAAAACUCUGUUAUUAGGGAAGAACAGAUGUGUAAGUAACUGUGCACAGCUUGACGGUAACUAAUCAGAAAGCCACGGCUAACUACGUG